GACAGAGGUGCCAAGCGUUAGGCGGAAUCACUGGGCUUAAAGCGUGCGCAGGCGGUGAUGUAAGACAGAUGUGAAAUCCCCGGGCUCAACCUGGGAACUGCAUUUGUGACUGCAUCGCUGGAGUGCGGCAGAGGGGGAUGGAAUUCCGCGUGUAGCAGUGAAAUGCGUAGAUAUGCGGAGGAACACCGAUGGCGAAGGCAAUCCCCUGGGCCUGCACUGACGCUCAUGCACGAAAGCGUGGGGAGCAAACAGG
rnacentral:rRNA from 1 species